GAUAAACGCUGGCGGCGCACAUAAGACAUGCAAGUCGAACGGAAGUCGUUACGAAAUGGAAUGAAGAUUUAUCUGAAUGAAGUUUUGUAACAAUGGCUUUAGUGGCGGACUGGUGAGUAACACGUAAGCAAUCUACCUAUUAGAGGGGAAUAACAAUGAGAAAUCAUUGCUAAUACCGCAUAAGCUUGUAGUACCGCAUGGUACAGCAAGAAAAGGAGCAAUCCGCUAAUAGAUGAGCUUGCGGCUGAUUAGCUAGUUGGUGUGGUAACGGCAUACCAAGGCAACGAUCAGUAGCCGGGCUGAGAGGCUCUUCGGCCACAUUGGGACUGAGAUACGGCCCAGACUCCCUACGGGAGGCAGCAGUCGGGAAUUUUGCGCAAUGGAGGAAACUCUGACGCAGUGACGCCGCGUAUAGGAAGAAGGUUUUCGGAUUGUAAACUAUUUUAGUCAGGGAAGAAAAAUAGACAGUACCUGAAGAAUAAGCUCCGGCUAACUACG
rnacentral:rRNA from 1 species